AGUGUAUCCCAUAGCUCUUUAGAUGUCUCGCAAUAAGAGUACCCUUCCAAGAGUGAAGCCUCAAGAGAGCAAUGGAGAGCACUCAGAACCGUCAAGUCUUCUUGCGUCCAAGUCUCUUUGACCAAGCUUUCUUCCAAAGCUUUCGCUUCUUCAUAGGUAGACUCAAUGUAUCUUGUGAGCCUUCUCCCACCCAAUACAUUCGUCGUUGUUCUC
rnacentral:lncRNA from 1 species